ACUCCUGUCUCUCAGGCAGGACCGUAAAACACUGCAAACAGGAGGAAGCAGGAAGAAGUCACCCAUGAAGUCCUUGCCCCUGAUAAAAAACAAAACUCAUCCGGCCUCUGAAGUCAUAAUAGUUCUUGCAGCUUGGAGUGUGCCGCCAUCCUCCCCAAACACAUCUCGACUCUGAAAGUGACCCUAUGAAGGCUAUGACUGCUAAGCAGCAGGCAGAACAGGCAACCAUGGAGAAGAUUGUAUGCUGAGAUGGAAGACCCAAAAGAUUGAAGCAGCCUGGAUAACUCGGGUACCACACAGAGGACAACUGCCCUAGAGAGUUGCCUUGACCCGCAAAAGACAUUGCCUGAGAUGAAAAUAAACUUUUAUUGUGUUAAA
rnacentral:lncRNA from 1 species